AGUUCGCCAUUAAACGACCUUGACCUCUUUUCGCUAACUUCUCAGUUUUCUGAUUUUGUUUCUUGAUAAGGGCUCUUUUGUUGCGAUACUGUGCAUAUUUUACGGGAACAGGGACUAGACGGUAGUUAGGUACUAGGACUAGAUAGGUAUUUGUGUUCUCGUUGUUUUGACUGAAGUGCAGUUUCGAGUUUGCAUUGUGAUUGUCUAUGCGAAGAAAGUGGUGUAGGCCUAGGCCUAUCAGCACAUGGAAAUGGUGAUCAAGGCGCUGUUAAAAAGUUCACAAAUGUCUACAAAAACAGGUGUCCCUUUAGUCAUGUUAGUCUCUUUUUGAAAAUGUCCACAGACUCUGAUUCCCUGAAGUUCCUUAGAAAUUCAUUCCAGAGUCUGGGUGAACUGACACUAAAGGCCUUGUCACAACCACAACGUUUGGCUACAGGCACGGCCAUCAGCAAUUGUUCAGCUGAACGAAGUGACCGCCCUGGUUUGUACACAGUCAGAAGAUCCUUGAUGUAGCUGGGAGCCUGGCCAUUCAAGGCCUUGAAUGGAAAGUCAGCAGCAGAACCUUGAACGGGACUGCACAGGCAGCCAAUGAAAGUAAUGGGGGAGGUUUUGGAUGAUGGGACGAUCCAUGUGCUUCCAUAUUGUGACGGCAACGGCUGCUGUGUCAUCAUCUUACGGCCCGAGGUACUUGGAUCUACUUGAGAAGCGGUACCCGUUGUAUGACGUCAUAAGGCCGAUGCUAUAUUAAAUAAUACCUCCAUGGUCCAGACCCCCACCAGCUUCACCAGACCAGAGCGGGUUGUCCUCCUCUGUACCGGCCUGAAGUGCCUCGAGCAGAUGAAGGUCCGGAAGUAUGCCAGCAUGCUUCAUGGAAGGAUAGUCACUGAAUUCCCACCUGAAGUGAGUCAUGUGAACAGUGAAGGGAUGUGCGCGCGAACUCUCAAGUACCUGAACGCAGUCCUCCUGGGAAAAUGAAUCCUGAACUGAUGUUAUCCCAAAUGACACAACUGUUCCUUAUCACGCCAAAUCAGGGAUCGUAUCUGGCUGAUUGUUGUUACUUCAUCAUUCACGAUCUAAAGGAUAAGAUUAAGAUGCAGCGUCACUUCCGGGUGUGUACAGCCCUGACAACUUGGUUCAUGGAAUGCAUCACUGGGUUUGAACUGCUUGAUCUACCAGAAGGUAACGCAGACUGAACUUGUGAGCUGCACCAUCGCAGACAUCAUAUUGGAUUGAUGUUUGUGAUAUAUAACAUGUACAAUAGUCAUUUUCUAACAAAUUAUAUUCUACACUCUAAAAGUAUGUAUUGUUUCACUCACUACCAAUAUCAUUUUUCCUGCACGUCA